UUUAUUUAUUUAUUUAUUUAAUCUUUAUUGCACAAAAGAAAACCUUAUAGUACAAAAGGCGGACUUAAUGCCAUGAGGCAUUCUCUACCAGUCAACCUUUACCUUUACCUUUAGGCAUUAUAUCACGAUUGUAUAAAAUACUGAUUACUAAGUUUGCUAUCUGUAACGUCACAGUUAUUCCACUAUGUAUUUAAGUCUGGAGAGACUGACGCAGCAGAAUUCGAUAUUGGUUUUUGUUUUCCUUCGUUGUUUGUAUUAUCUUGACAAGGAAAAUAUUUCGUUCUUAGUUGCUACUGUAUGUUACAUUAAGGCUUAAUACUAACUUAGGACUAGCAACUAAAACAAACGCCAAGACGUACCCUUGAAGGGAGAAAAUGAUAACCAAAGCUAUUUUAGUACAUGACAAACUACAAUUCUCUGCGUAUUUUUGAUUUCAGAACGUCCUUAUAAGAUGAUAGAGACACACCGUGGAAAAUUCCUAAUGAUGUUCAAAGGAUAUACGUUUUCUAGAUACCACAAAUAUAUGUAUUACUGCUCUAAAUAUUCCACGCAAAAAUGUUCUGCUUGUGUUAAAUUGAAUGAUAGAGGACAAAUUGUUUUGCUCCGGGAAGACCAUAACCAUCCAGCUCCGAACUAUUCGGUUACUAGGGAUGGAAUGUAUGUGAAGCUUUAGUCCUUUGAACAAUUCAUUUUCCUUUGUUGUUAAUAUUUUCUUCUAUAUUGUUAAUGGUAGUACACACGCUUUGUUUUUUUGUAUUUUGCGUUUUCUUAAUUGAUUUUUUCCUCAUCCUUUCAUGUUUAUUUUCUUAUUUCUCACUUGGUAUGAGGAUUGAGCAUAUUUUAAUGUUGAAUGGUCUAAUGACGCGCACAUUAAUCACUAUUCAUGCCACACUAAACUCGUCGUUACCAUCCACCAAGCAUUUUUCUUAAAUACAGGAAAAACAGUGUUACAACGAAGACCAAUGGUAGCAAAACAGUAAAUUACUGUUAAUUUGUGAUUCUACCUGUACGGCUAUACUGCGUAAGCGGAAAAUGAUCCUGGAAACUGCAAUAGAUUAUUGUAGGAUUGGAUUGGUAGGUGGCCAGUAUGCGUUUAUUUUAUGAAGUUAAAAAAAUGACUAACUUUAAUUUCAGAUCUUUCAUGCAAGCUGAUAACGACAUCUCGAGGGAAGUCUUUACUCAUGGUCAACGACAAAUUUACAUUUUCUAAAUAUAGCAGUAACUUGUACUACUGCUCGAAAUAUUCUGAUCCCAAAUUCCGUUGCAAGGCAUGUAUCAAACUAGAAGAAAAUGGACAAAUGGUGCUACUCAGAGGUGACCAUAAUCAUGCUGCUUUGAAAUAUUAUAUUGCCUCUGACGGAAAGUAUUUCUUUUUCUCUACAGGGCAAAAACCGGGUCCCUAAAUCCUAUGUUAUAGGUACGGUUAGCACAACGUGUCACGCGUUAGCUACACCCGUCUGUUUAUAUUCGUAAUUAAGUCUUAGCUUAGCUAAGCGAUUUGAAUUAAGCAAACCGACAUAAAUUAGAUUUUCAAUUAUUUCUAUGACACAUUGUAAACUGAAAAUUUCAAUUCAUUUCAUAACGAAUCAAGCUAGUAGAUACACUCGUAGUUGUGUUCUAGUGUGUCUUUGGAAGAUUUUUGUGGCAAUCUGAUUGCUGAGUACUAUAACGGUUGGUCGCAAUGAUUUGACAUGAAUAUACUGUACGAGUUAUCGAAGUAAAACCUCUGCUCCUCGACUCUACUAUUAUUUCGCCAAGACCUCUACUAACUGCUCAUAAAAAUCCACAGAUUAGUAAAUAUAAAUUUUGCUCAAGGUCGCUUGCAAGUUAGUGUAUCUUUACUUUUUAGGUAGGUAUGUACCUAUAAAGGUACCAGUAACAUAAUAUACUGUUUUGUCUGUUCUUGUAUCUUUAUCAGUGUCUAUUAUAUUUAGAUACAUUUUGUUAUAGAUCCUUAACUUUAAUUCUAAAUAACUAUCAUAAUGAAAAUCAUAUCGUUGUUUUUGUGGAUAUAUUCUACGAAUACAAUUAAGUUUACAUGGUAAGAAUUGUUUUGAUUUCAUAAUUUACUUUAGCGAUCGCCCAACUGUUCUACUCUUGUGAAAGUAAGUACUUACCUGUAAUAGUUAUUUAACGCUGAGUUUUAUUGAACCGGACUUACGAAAAAUCACAAAUAGAGUCGGACCACGAUAACUCUGCAGGACAUAGACGAAAGCAAUGACAUUAUUAAUGUCAAAUUCCUUUCUUCACUUUCUUCUAUUCAAAUCAGUGCAAAAUUUGCUUAGACGGACUCUAAUAACCCUGCUCCCAAUCUUUUUUUUUCUGUCCAGGUUUGACAUACACGAUGAUCGAGCGGGGCACAGGCCGCCCUUUGAUGGUGGUGAAUGGUUUCACUUUCUCAAAAUACAGCAAAAAUACCUAUCGUUGUUCCAAAUAUUGCAGGAAACGUUGUCAAGCAACUAUUAAGCUCGGAAAAGAUGGUAAAAUAUGGCAACUCAUGGGGGAUCAUAACCAUUUACCCCCAGAACAGGUUUUUAUGAUGCAGUAUAAUGGACGUGAAUAUGUGAAAACAUAAUAUAAGCUUUAUGUUGUUUUGGUAAUACAAAGAUUUUCUUCUUGUACCUUCAAUGCAAGUUUUGGUUAAUUUAGGUUAGGACUAGGAAAGUCUGAUUACGAUGUUCGUUUAUUGUUAUCUAUUUAUUGCGUAACCGUAUUGCUGUAUAUAGAAAUAAAAAAUAGUUGUUUUUGUUACAGGUUUUUAUUUAUUUUAUCUGAUCCUACUGAAUAUUGAAACUACUAACAUUGAUAUUGAUGUUGCGAGUAUUACGAGUAUAUAUUUUCUACCUCCAAAUAUAAGAUAGAUAAUUAGGUAUGUGCAUUAUUUCAGAAUUCCUUGAACACAAGAUGAUACCAAACAGCAGAGGACGGCCUCUGAUAAUGGUUAAUGGUUUUACAUUCUCGAAAAGGUUUUCCUGAAUACACUAUGGUUCCAAAUAAUCGAGGACAACCCUUACUGAUGGUUAAUCAGUAUACAUUUUCCAAGCACAGUAAAAAUUACUACCGCUGCUCUAAAUACGUUACCAUUAAGUGUCCGGGUCAUGUCAAAUUAGACGCCAAUAUGAAAAUUGCAGCUUUAAACGAAGACCAUAACCAUCAACCGCCUCUUUAUGUUCAUACUUCAUCAGGGUUGCAAAGAUUGCAUAUGUAUAUACCCCCGGCCCCGCAGGAGGUGACAGAUCGUAUGCAGCGUAUUUAAUUAUAAUUCUAAGUAUAAUGGCGAACAAAGUGCUUGAAAACUUAGUACGCGAACUCCAGAAGACACUAUCCACUCUGGUAAAUAAAGUCAGCACUUUAGAAGCAAAGAUAGGUGAGCAAAAUGACCUAAUACUAACACUCUCAAAACCGAUUCCACAUAACGGACAUGAAGAUAACGUAGACAAAGCUGACAGCUGUUCAAAAUCCACCCGCAAAUCGCUACUAGCACCACCUGUCACUACUGCCAAACUGCCACCUCAGCACCCAGUUCGAGAGGCGAGACAGAUAGCGGCGGCGGCCAUUAGUGACAUUGCAGGUUGCAGGUGCAACGAGGAGGAAGAACUCUGGUAGGGCCGGCGGAACGACUGUGCGAGGUAUGAAUCGUCUACCGAAUACUCCCGAUCGCCAACGACAAUCUAUCGCGAGUAUUGGGGCCACGAAAACUGCGACCGCAGAUAUUGAUACGGACACUUCCACCCCUGCUACGCCCACUGCGCUAAUUCAAGAAAACCAGCACUCCAGUGUCCACGAUGAAGACGGUGACUCAUGGAGGAAACAUUCUAACAGAAAAAAAGAAGACUAAAUAAAGUUAUUGUUGGGACCGGACAGUCUGAUGAUGACAUCCAAACUGUAGAAUCGAUGAAGUAUAUUCAAGCGUGGGCUUUUAGGCCUGAGACAACAGAAGAAAAUAUUGUCAACUUCCUUAAAAAAGUCGAUGACUCUGCGGAGUACUUCGUCGAAAAGAGGAAAAUAAACACUAACAAGCAUGCCUCAUUCAUCAUCGGAAUGCCAGAAAGUCUACUCGAGCGUUUCACUUCGCCGGCGGUGUGGCCACACGGAGUGAAGUUUGCCAACUAGUUUCGCGUGCGCCCCCGCCGCCCCGCCCGGAGCGGCUCGCCCGCGCACCGCGACCACUGCAGCCCGACCCCAGUCGACAGCGCAUCAGUCAACGGGCAACAGUCAGGUGCAGCGCAUGAAUAGUGAAUGUGAUAAAUUGUAUAUACUACUCGUACUCCAAAACGUUAGAUGUUUACGCAGUAAGACUACUUCUAUCAAAAGCAUACUACAAGGGGCUACUAAAUAUGAUCUACUGUUAUUAACAGAGCACUGGUUAACAUCUGACGAUGGCUGUUACAAGCUUAAUGAAUUAUUAUUUAAUCUCUGACUACUGCUGCUGUGGUAAAUAAAAUAAAUAAAAUUUUAUUUAUAAAAUAAAAAAUACAUUUUUUUAUGGUGGUGUUUGUAUAUACGCGCAUAAUAGUGUUUCCGUGUUGGAUAGGAGUGAUUUAGGCAUAAAAUACUCAAUCGAAAUGCACAUUGAGAUAGCCGCAGUGCAACUUGUAAACUUAAAUGUUAUUGUUUUGUGUGUAUACCGUUCCAAUACGGAGGGUGACUUAAAUAUAUUCGUUGACCAGUUAGAACUACUACUGAAUGAUAUUACUCAGGAUAACGCGAACAUUGUAAUAAUGGGAGAUAUAAAUGUGGAUUCCUUGAAACGGUCGAAAGAGAUCAGGUUACUCCACGAGCUAUUCAUUAGGUACGAUAUUUCUUCUGGGGUAAACUUCCCCACUCGAAUACAAGGUGAUUCCAGAACCAGUUUGGACCAUGCGUAUACGGACUUGCCCUUAGAUCGCACCAAAGCAUACCCAUUAGAAUUUAAUAUAAGUGAUCAUUGUGCGGUUUGUUUUGUAAUUUCAACACCUAAAAAUAUUUGUACCACGCGCCGGAUAAAAAAACGAAUGAUUGAUGAAUAUCAUAUGGUAAAAUUUGUUGAGUUUUUGGAACUGUAUGAGUGGUCUAAAUUUUCUGACGCUAUUUUUUUUUAAUUUUGAUGAUAUUCAUGACUUGUUUUUAAGGAACUUUAAUUUUCACAGCCCCUUUAAAUCUGUCUUGGUGCGGUCUAAGGAUUCAGUUUAGAGUAAUGACGAAACCUUAAAAAGUAAACAGUUUAUUUUGUUGCUCGGAAUGCUCACGCGAUUCUAUCCCUUGAAUUCUAACCUAACUCAAUUAAUUAACGCUCAUAAAUGCAAACACAAUAGCUUACUUACUAAAACUCGACGAUCGUGUAUAAAUAAAAAUAUAGAAUCCAGUGAGAAUAAAAGUAACGUCUUAUGGAACUCAAUUAAAUUGGAAAUAAAUAAGGGUAAGUUGUUAGGGGACGACUUUCGUGUGCUACGGCAUGCUGUGUGUGGGCCACAGGGCUCCAGUCGCGAACUCGCGGACGCGCUUAACCAGUACUACCUGGCGGUGGUGCGCGACACUCCAACCAGGCCCAACAUACCCGAGGCUCUGAAACUGUUGCGCGCCUCUAGACCAGCCGUACCGAACACUAUGUUCAUGACUCCAUUUACGGCACCGGAGCUAGUUAAAAUUAUUAAAAAUAUUAAAUCGAAGACUACCAGGGACGUCUAUGGCUUCCCAACGUCUGCAUUGCGUAAACUACCUUACGUGUUCCUAAACUUGCUACGCAACCAUCUUAAUACCUCAAUGUCGAAGGGUUCUUAUCCUGACACUUUAAAGAGUAUAAAAGUAACACCUGUGUAUAAAGGUAAGGGUAGCAAAAAGGAAUUAAAGAACUAUCGUCCGAUAUCGUUGAUGCCCGCAAUUUCUAAAAUAUUCGAGAUGGGAAUUUGUGAUAGGCUGAUGAGCUUCUUUAGUUCGAAUGAAUCGUUAUGCUCUCAACAGUAUGCUUAUCAGGCUGGUCGAUCGACGGUGGAGGCAGCACGCGAGGUGGUAAAGAACGUACUAGACAAGUAAGAAUCCAAAAAACGAGUUGCCGCUAUACUGUUCAACCUAUCUCGCGCUUUUGACCUUGUUGAUCACAAAUUGAUGGCAUCAAAACUCGCACACUACGGCGUACGUGGGGUGGCCCUAGAUUUCAUUGUUUCCUUCCUUAGCAACCGCUCCCAAAGAACAGAAGUGGCUGGUGAUGCUUCGGAACCAGGCGAUAUUGGUGACCGGUCAGUUCCUCAGGGGUCCAACUUUGGUAACACGAUAUUUCUGAUACUGAUGAAUGACUUGCCAUUUUUAUCUUCUCACACGCAGCUCAUUAUGUAUGCAGACGAUAUCUGUGCCGCAGUGAGUGGGGACUGUGAGGAUGAGCUCCGUAUCAAUGUCGAAACAGUAAUAAUGAAGCUCUUGCACUGGUUUACUGCGAACGGCAUGCAACUCAACCUCGAAAAAACGAAUAUCCUUGACUUCUCAUUGGUCACAAGUAAGACUACAAAUCUAAUCCCUGUAGUAAUACAAAUCACUAAUAUUGAGGCCGUGAGCUGCGCGAGAUUCGUAGGCUUCACUCUAGAUGGUAGACUGCAGUGGCAGGAGCAUAUUGAUUCCCUCUGUGCUAGGUUGAACUCUGGCUAUUAUGCCGUAACUAGACUCAAAUGCUCCUUGUCCCAGAAUAAUCUACUAGCCGCCUACUACGCUUAUUUUCAUUCCCAUCUUUCCUAUGGAAUCGAUCUUUGGGGUUUAGUUGCAGACCGUGAUCGCCCUUUUAUAAUAAAAAAAAAGUCGUCCGGUCCAUGUGUCGAGUACCGACCGACGAACCGGCAAGAGAUCUCUUCAUUCAAUUACGUAUCCUAACGGUUCCCUCGCUCUUUA